rnacentral:rRNA from 1 species
AGAGUUUGAUCCUGGCUCAGAACGAACGUUGGCGGCAUGGAUUAGGCAUGCAAGUCGCGGGGGCCCAGCAAUGGGAGACCGGCGUAAGGGGCAGUAAGGCAUGGGUACCUACCCCGGGGUUCGGGAUAGCCACCAGAGAUGGUGGGUAAUACCGGAUGACCUCGAGAGAGCAAAGGUCCGCCGCCCUGGGAGGGGCCCAUGUGAUAUUAGCUAGUUGGUGGGGUAACGGCCCACCAAGGCGAAGAUGUCUAGCGGGUGUGAGAGCACGACCCGCGCCACUCGCACUGAGACACUGGCGAGACACCUACGGGUGGCUGCAGUCGAGGAUCUUCGGCAAUGGGGGCAACCCUGACCGAGCGAUGCCGCGUGCGCGAUGAAGGCCUUCGGGUUGUAAAGCGCGAAAGUGGGGAGAAAAGCCGAAAGGUGUGAUCUAUCCACAGUAAGCUCGGGCUAAGUUCGUGCCAGCAGCCGCGGUAAGACGAACCGAGCGAACGUUGUUCGGAAUCACUGGGCUUAAAGGGCGCGUAGGCGGGCUGUCAAGUUUGGGGUGAAAUCCCGCGGCUCAACCGUGGAACUGCCUCAAAUACUGACGGUCUCGAGGGGGAUAGGGGCGAGCGGAACUAAUGGUGGAGCGGUGAAAUGCGUUGAUAUCAUUAGGAACUCCGGUGGCGAAGGCGGCUCGCUGGAUCUCUUCUGACGCUGAGGCGCGAAAGCUAGGGGAGCAAACGGGAUUAGAUACCCUGGUAGUCCAA